rnacentral:rRNA from 1 species
ACUCCUACGGGAGGCAGCAGUGGGGAAUAUUGCACAAUGGGGGAAACCCUGAUGCAGCCAUGCCGCGUGUGUGAAGAAGGCCUUCGGUUGUAAAGCACUUUCAGUAGGGAGGAAGGUAGUGUAGUUAAUACCUGCAUUAUUUUGACGUUACCUACAGAAGAAGCACCGGCUAACUCCGUGCCAGCAGCCGCGGUAAUACGGAGGGUGCGAGCGUUAAUCGGAAUUACUGGGCGUAAAGCGCAUGCAGGCGGCCUGUUAAGUCAGAUGUGAAAGCCCGGGGCUUAACCUCGGAAUUGCAUUUGAAACUGGCAGGCUAGAGUCUUGUAGAGGGGGUAGAAUUUCAGGUGUAGCGGUGAAAUGCGUAGAGAUCUGAAGGAAUACCAGUGGCGAAGGCGGCCCCUGGACAAAGACUGACGCUCAGAUGCGAAAGCGUGGGGAGCAAACAGGAUUAGAUACCCU